GGGCCUGUAGCUUAACUGAAUAGAGCAUCUGACUACGGAUCAGAAGGUUGGGGGUUUGAAUCCCUCCAAGCCCA
rnacentral:tRNA from 2 species